AUUAUGAUCUGUUCUUUCCAUGAAUAAAUGUCGAUUAAUGCAUUGUUCAUCUGUAUGAUAAACCGGGGUUAUUUUUUGUUGGCUGAUGAGUGGUUUUCUAUUUUAGUGUGUAUGAUGCAUUCUAUGUGGGGAUGCGGCUGGUGAUUGUAGCAAUUUAUUUUUAUUUCAGAUUUAAGUAGAAAACCAGACCAUGUCUUUGGAUGCUCAGCGUAGCUGGAUGUAUAGUGGGUGGAAGGAUAAUGGAAGACAUUCUGAUGAGUGGAUACGGAAUACAAAUGCUUUUGUGAACCAUGUUUUUUAGGGUGUCCGUAGUUCCAAGUUUGGAGUUUCCUAUCCUUGCUCAAAAUGUUGCAAUGGUAGUAGAAGAACAAAACAAUUGAUGACCUCUCAUCUUUGUCAUUGGGGGUUCAUGCCCAACUAAUGGAUUGCACAUGGGGAGCGUCAUGUUCAUGUAGAUAGAGUGGAGUCUGUCAACAUUAAUUGCUUAGAGGACAUGUUGUGUGACUUUGGGGAUUCAAUUCAUGUCGAUAACUCACACGAGGAGCCAACACCGGAUGCCAGAGCUUUUUAUGCCAUGUUGUCAGCUGUUAGAGAGCCACUCCAUGAGUUCACCCAAACCCCACGCUUUGCUACUGUUACAUGCUUGAUGGGAAUUAAGUCACAAUACAAUCUGUCAGGCGACUGCAUAAAUAGCACUUUCGCAAGAUACACUCCCACAAGUCAAUAAAAUGCCAUCAAGCUUGUAUGAGUGCAAGUGUAUCUUAGGCCAUUUGAAAAUGCCACUCCUGAAAAUAGAUGCAUGCGUUAACCAUUGCAUGCUAUACUAUAAGGAUAGAGAGGAAAAACUGAAGUGUGAUUUCUGUGGUGAAGCAAGAUAUAAGGUAGUUAACAAUGACUGCCCAAAUAAGAAGCGUAAACCCAUCCCCACGUAAGGUUCUGCGAUACCUUCCAUUUCUAUCAAGAUUGCAAAGGUUGUUCAUGCAGCCUGAAUUUGCUAAGCACACGAGAUGGCACAUGGAAGGCAUCCAAGAAAAUCUAGGAAUGAUGGUGCACCCAGGUGAUAGUGAAUCAUGGAAAUCUUUCAAUGAGGAUGGGUUUGCAAGUGAUUCACGCAAUGUUAAGCUAGUCAAGUCCUCUGAUGGCUUCAACCCUUUUAAUUUCGGGUUAACACAAUACUCUUGUUGGUUUGUGUUUCUUGCUCCUUUGAAACUGCCACCUGCUCUUUACUUGAAAACCCAAAAUAUCUUUCUUAGCAUGGUGAUCCCUGGACCAAAGGGUCCUGGCAAGAACUUCAAUGUGUACAUGGUCUCUCUUUAAUGGCAUUGUCAAUGACAUCGAGGUUAUUUCUGAGGUGAGAGCUACUGGUACAUCUUCAGCAGCCUUGAAACGUCGUCGAGUAGAAGAAAUUGAAGAUGUGCGUAGAAAGGAGUCUGAGAAGACUAAAAAAGCAGAGGCUUAUGCCAACAAUCUCUUGUCAUGGGGUGUUAGCAUGUACGAGCACUGCAAUGGGAUACAUAAGUUUCUUCAGACUUUGGCAACUAACUAAGGUGUACCUAUUGGAGAAAUACCACCGCCGCCGGUUCCACCUCCUUCACGUUCACUUUCUCCUCCUGGAUCUCCACAACCAUCUACUAUCCAAAUUCUAGAAAAUAGCGAAGAACCGCCAGCUUUGUGUGCCCAACAAGAAACAAAUCCCGGCUCUUUUCAUGAACAUGGUGUUGCCUCAAGUGUUCCUGCUGCAAGUGUUCCUGCUGUAGAUGAUGAAGGGAUGUUUGGGGGAUUUUUCAGUCAAUCUGGAGCUGGUGCACUCAGCCUAUCACUAUUGAGCAGCCAGUUGGUUCCUUGAUGUUCUUGGAUGUAUAGUGCGUGGAUCGCAUUUUGGUGCAUGUAUAGUUAACAUGCUGGUACAUGUUCUGUGAUGUAGGAAACUGUGAUACGUCUCCAAUGUAUCUAUAAUUUUUGAUUGCUCCAUGCUAUAUUAUCUUCUGUUUUGGACA